rnacentral:rRNA from 1 species
AGCAGCCGCGGUAAUUCCAGCUCCAAUAGCGUAUAUUAAAGUUGUUGCAGUUAAAAAGCUCGUAGUUGAAUUUCGGGAUUGACGUGAUGGUCAUGCCUUAAGGGGUAUGAACUGUUACUGUUGAUUUCUCACCUUCUGGAGAAACUUGAUGUCCUUUAUUGGGUGUCUUGCGGAUCCAGGACCUUUACCUUGAAAAAAUUAGAGUGUUUAAAGCAGGCAUUUUUGCUCGAAUACAUUAGCAUGGAAUAAUAGAAUAGGACGGCAUGGUUCUAUUUUGUUGGUUUCUAGGAUCACCGUAAUGAUUAAUAGGGAUAGUUGGGGGCAUUAGUAUUCAAUUGUCAGAGGUGAAAUUCUUGGAUUUAUUGAAGACUAACUACUGCGAAAGCAUUUGCCAAGGAUGUUUUCAUUAAUCAAGAACGAAAGUUAGGGGAUCGAAGACGAUCAGAUACCGUCGUAGUCUUAACCAUAAACUAUGCCGACUAGGAAUCAGACGAUGUUAAUUUUUUAAUGACUCG